rnacentral:rRNA from 1 species
UCUUGACCUCGGAUCAGGUAGGGAUACCCGCUGAACUUAAGCAUAUCAAUAAGGCGGAGGA